rnacentral:rRNA from 1 species
GUGAGGAAUAUUGGUCAAUGGGCGAGAGCCUGAACCAGCCAAGUCGCGUGAAGGAAGAAGGAUCUAUGGUUCGUAAACUUCUUUUGCAGGGGAAUAAAGUGCGGGACGUGUCCUGUUUUGUAUGUACCCUGAGAAUAAGGAUCGGCUAACUCCGUGCCAGCAGCCGCGGUAAUACGGAGGAUCCGAGCGUUAUCCGGAUUUAUUGGGUUUAAAGGGUGCGUAGGUGGUUUGAUAAGUCAGCGGUGAAAGGUUGCAGCUUAACUGUAAAAAUGCCGUUGAAACUGUCGGACUUGAGUGUAAAUGAGGUAGGCGGAAUGCGUGGUGUAGCGGUGAAAUGCAUAGAUAUCACGCAGAACUCCGAUUGCGAAGGCAGCUUACUAAGCUACAACUGACACUGAAGCACGAAAGCGUGGGGAUCAAACAGGAUUAGAUACCCCGGUAGUCC